UUGUGGAGGAGGACGCCGAAGGUGGGGCUAAUGACUGGGGUGAAGUCGAACUAGGUAGCCGUACCGAAAGGUGGCGGCUGGAUCACCCUCUAACAGGGAGACAAACAAAUGAUUAUGAUGUCUGAGUAAAUUUCUUAGGCCAUAAUCCUGUCACCUUAGGUCGAUCGGUACCUCAAAUUGAUAUUCAACUAAAGCUGAAUUUAUUUAGUCUUAAGCUGAUAAUUUUUGAUUUCAGUUCCUAAACUUUGUCUAGGUCACACCUAGCAAUGGUACUCCUGGGCUAUUAGCUCAGGUGGUUAGAGCGCACCCCUGAUAAGGGUGAGGUCCCUGGUUCAAGUCCAGGAUGGCCCAUUCGUUGUUGGGGGUAUAGCUCAGUUGGUAGAGCGCCUGCUUUGCAAGCAGGAUGUCAGCGGUUCGAGUCCGCUUACCUCCACUGAUCUACCACCAAACAAUGAACCAUGGAGGCAUCUCAAGUUUUGGUGUGAUUUAGACUUAAGUUGAACUAAAAGAACCUAGCUUCUUUUCAUUUCUUUUAUCUAUUUAAAUUUUAUAGGUAUGAAAAGACGCUGGGCUCACUACAUUCACUAGAAUCGUAGUUAAGUUCAGUAGAACCUUGACAACUGCAUAUGUAAGUCUGGAAAAAUAAAGCAUCUCAUGGAUGCAUUGAUCUUUAUUUGAUUAAUGUUUAAUUCUUGAGCAAGAGCUGAGACUCUAUGACGUUGCUUUAAAGAUUAUCUUUAAGGCAAAUAUUAUUAGUUUAAAUAAUAAUAUAGCUGUGUAAAAACCGCUCGUUAUAGAGAAUUUAAUGGUCAAGCUACAA
rnacentral:misc_RNA from 1 species